CUGGCUAUAGGAAAUUGUUAGUGGCAGACGGGUGAGUAAUGCGUAGGAAUCUACCUAGUAGUACGGAGUAGCCAUUAGAAAUGGUGGGUAAUACUGUAUAAUCCCCGAGGGGGAAAGAUUUAUCGCUAUUAGAUGAGCCUACGUUAGAUUAGCUAGUUGGUGAGGUAAUGGCUUACCAAAGCUAUGAUCUAUAGCUGGUCUGAGGGGACGAUCAGCCACACUGGAACUGAGAUACGGUCCAGACUCCUACGGGAGGCAGCAGUGGGGAAUAUUGGACAAUGGGCGAAAGCCUGAUCCAGCUAUGCCGCGUGAGUGAA
rnacentral:rRNA from 1 species